UACCAUUAGUUUUAAAAUUUUAAAAUUAAAGUACACGAGUUAUGUUACAAAUACAUCUCAUAAUGUGAUAGAGUAUGAAUCUACAAUCUUCUAUUUAUUCCUAUUUAUGGAGUGAAAUUUUACACACUAAAAUACAUGCCAAAACAAUAUAUAAAUUUGCAUACAAGAACACUAUAAAAUAAAAUAGUAAUAUUUUAUUGAAUAUAAAUUAUAAUUACAACCAUGAAUAUAAUAUUUAAAUGAAAACAAUUUUCACUCCAUUUUUCACCGUCUUUAAGUUGAAGAAAUCAAAUCAUACUUUCAAGUCUUCCACUUUUACUUAUGCUCAAACCAGACAUCAAAUGUACCAGACACCCAUUCAUGGUUGUUAUUAUACUAAUUUAUAUUCAAUUAAAAAUCUUGACUGAUUUAUUUUAUAGUGUUCUUGUAUGCAAAUUUAUAUUUGUUUUGGCAUGUUUUUUGUGUGUAAAAUUCACUCCAUAAAUAGGAAUAAAUAGAAGAUAUGUGAGAAUUCUACUCUAUCACAUAUGAGAUGUAUUUGUAACAUAGACUCGUGAUUUAAUUUUAAAAUUUAAAACUAUGGUCUAUGAUCCAUAUAUGAAUCUCUCAUUAAUUAUGUUUUUCUAAUUCACUUACUUACAGUAAUGGUUGGCAACUGACAUAUUAAGUUUUAACAGAAAAAAAAGUUAUUACAAAUGGAUUACAGAAAAAAACUUAAAUACCUUUAAAACAAGUUAAGGGAUUAAGGUUAAUUUUGCAAACCCAAAUCCAAUUCUUCUCCCAUAAUUCGAUUAUUAGUUGAUCAUUUCCACAACUCACCUUAAAGUCUCAAAUAGUAGUUACCGGAUUGAGGAAAUAUUACUAAAAUGACGUUCUCACUCAACACAAAUCUUUUAAAAAUAAAAUGCACUCACCAUUUUCACCAACCAUUUUCAAACUUCAUUGAAAACAAUAUUAUAUUUUUACAGACCUCGCCCCUUUAUUAUUAACAUGAGUCUUACUGACCAGCAAUAAUGUUUCAUUCGAAUCAACUCCACCAACUCUUUUAACGCUCUUUGAGUAACAUUUCGUCACACACCCUAUUUGAGCCAUUCAACUUUUCAACCUCACCGGAACAACGCUGAGGAGACAUUUGCGAAAUCCAAAAAACAAGUUCUCUUGGAACAAUGAGAACAGUUUUUAGACGUGUCAAACAGAUAUGCUGCCUUAGUCAUUUCAAGUAGUUUUUUAUCAACGACAUGUAUAUAUAAACGUUGUUUUAGAUUUUUUUAAGAACGAGUUUUUUGAAUUUUUCAAUAGGAACGCCAUUCUAUUCUUCUUAACUCAAAACCGUUGCAAUUGAUAUAUUUUCAGAAACAUUUGUUUGGGGCUAUCACAACAUAUUGUAUUUGUUGUUCAUUUUAAAACCCUUUCUACUCUGACUCACGAUCUAGAUGUGAUUCUUAAUCAGAGCAACACUCAAUCGCACACACACCACACCUCUACUCACGCAUCUCACUCAGUCGUAAAUUUGUUUUACCUCAGAUACCUACCCUCCACGAUAGUCACAACAAACAACACUAAAUCAAGUUAUUUAUAAUUUUGUAAAUACUCUAUUCACUACACACACACAUCUUCUCAACUCACACACUCACAUUCUACACUCUCACACAUAUCUCCAAAUAAAUUUUAAAUAUAAUCUUGAACAUUAAAUUAACCACCCCACACAAUACACCACAACAUACCACUCUACACAACACCAGGCACUCACACACUCACAACCCCUAACGCCGUGGCCCUAACCGCACGUUGAUACGAUUUCAGCAACCGGUGUUUGCGGCAUCGCCUGAGGGAACCAGGAGGUGUCACUACGCGAGUACAGGAGAAGGUCGUUGAAAGUAGUAGACAAGCUGGCAUCGUCUCAGUAUGGCAUCGAUGUGUACCGACCGCUGUACGAGCUCAUAGGACCCAUGCUAGACGAAGUUAGGAUGUGUUGAUCAUUGAUGUCGACUCAGGACGGUUGAAGAGAACAUGGGGUGUAACGAUGCGUGGAGACAAGUGGAAGGUUUUGGCACGCUGUUUGGUGAGAUAGGGUUGUGGAUGUUUGUGUUUUUGUGAGGUUUAGGCUUCUUGGCUACGGCGGUUCAGCAACAAACAUCAGUACAAAUAAGCUAUUCUGGAUAAACAGAAAUAUUUCGUACUGAUACAAACAAUAAUGAUGCUCUCUCGACCAACGAACUCACUUCCCCUAGCAUCCUUAUCAAUCUUCAUUCAACCCAAACCAAGAUACUUUCAAGUCUCUCAAUACUUCUAAUUUUUUCCCCUUCUGGUAUUUUCCCAUCUAACCACGAACCAGCUCCAUCUUCAUUGAUCGAACAUAGUGAUGUCCGAGAACAACAUCAGCAUCAGAGUUUGUCUCUCGCAUAAUCACCUCACCGUAUCGGCGACAACCUAACAUGAUUCCACAUGUUGUAUGAGAUGUGGAACGUUACUCACACCACGCAUCUAUUUAUACACAAAAAUUGCAUUUAGGAGGAGUCUCAAUUGAAUUGGCGGCUCCCUUAAGCCCUACACAGGGCGCCAAUUGGUUGGCUAGGGCAGGUGCCCUAGCAAUCCAAUUGGCGGCCUUCAUUCAAAUUUUUAAGAGGAUCUCCAAUUUCAAUUGACACUCCUCCUAAAGUGGGGUAGGCGUUUUAGGAUUUAGGGUUAGGNNNNNNNNNNNNNNNNNNNNNNNNNUUUCCAAAUUUUGAUACUUUUUCUUGUGACUCUAUUCUUAAAUAUACACAUAUAAAUAAUAAAUAAUAGAUUUAAUUCUCACAAUAAUUUUUAUAAAACGUAGUACUAAGAACUUGAAGUUUCCUAUGCAUAAUAUUGAGAACAAAAGAUAAUAAUAGAAUACAAAGACAAAAUCUUCAGAAAAAAUGACAAUGCACAAUUUGCAAACUUUUUCUGAGUUUUAUGCAUUACUUGCUCCUAUCUUUUGGUAAGGAACUAUUAACUUGCCUUUUAAUUCUAUUUUGUAAUCAUUGUUAAAAUAUAUAAGGAAUUUUGAGUUUGAGAGUUCUUUUUUUAAGCAGAGCAAGUGAUAGUGAUAUAGAGGAACCUAAACAUGCAUUGGUGGGAAUGUUUUGGUUGCGCUUAGAUGUUUUAAUUUGGAUAUCCGAAGGUGAAUGUAAUUUGAAGCCUUAUUUGUUGUAUUACUAGUUACUAGUUAUCAUUUAUAAAUAAAUUACAAUAUUAUAAAUAUUUAAUAAUUAUUGAAAAAUCAAUAAAUUUCUUCCAAAAUUUUAUUUUAUUUGAAGCAUACAAUUUAUAAUAUUUAAAUGAAAACAAUUUUCACUCCAUUUUUCACCGUCUUUAAGUUGAAGAAAUCAAAUCAUACUUUCAAGUCUUCCACUUUUACUUAUGCUCAAACCAGACAUCAAAUGUACCAGACACCAAAUGUGUAUGCUUCAAACAUAAAAAUAAAAUUUUGGAAGAAAAUUUAUUGAUUUUUUUCAAUAUUAUUAAAUAUUUAUAAUAUUGUAAUUUAUUUUAAAAAUGAUAACUAGUAACUAGUUAAUACAACAACAUAAGGCUUCCAAAUUACAUUCACCUUUCGGAUAUCCAAACUUAAAACAUCUUAAAGCGCAACCAAAACAUUCCCCACCAAUGCAUGGUUCAGGUUCCUCUAUAUCAUUAUCACUUGCUCCUGUUAAAAAAAAAAGAACUCUCAAACUCAAAAUUCCUUUAUAUAUUUUAACAAUGAUGUACAAAAUAGAAUUUAAAAGGACAAGUUAAUAGUUCCUUACCAAAAGAUAGGAGCAAUGUAAUGCAUAAAACUCCCAUGAGAAAAAGUUUGCAAAUGUGCAUUGUCAUUUUUUCUGAAGAUUUUGUCUUUGUAUUCUAUUAUUAUCUUUUGUUCUCAAUAUUAUGCAUAGGAAACUUCAAGUUCUUUAUAUAGUACUCGUUUUAUAAAAAUUAUUGUGAGAAUUAAAUCUUAUUAUUUAUUAUUUAUUAUGUAAUAUUUUAAAGAAUAUGAGUCAGAAAAAAAGUAUCAAAAUUUGGAAAACUUGUAUACUACACAACUACUCAUAUUAAGUAUUAGAAGAAGAAAGAGAUACAUUUUAGACUUAUUACAAGUAUAACAUUUAGCAAUGCAUGAUAUUAUAGCUUCUUUAUUUAAAUUAGAAGUAAGAGUAAAUUAAUAUUAGACGUUUCUUUUAUUCUAUAACUAAUAAUAAAUUGUUCUUUUGAAAAAUACUCUUGCCAAAGAUCCAACCUGGCAGCAGUUAAGUGGAUAAGAUUUUGCGGUGGAUUGUUCUCAAAGAUUUGUUUUGAGAGUUUGUAUGGAAAAGAAAGAUAGGACUUUGAAAAACAAUUUUAUAAAAAAUAUAAUGAAAAUUUUAAUAUUUUUUGAAAAAAUAUUUUUGUAUAAAAUAAUAAAAUAAUACAUGUCAUUAACAUUUUUUAAUUUUUAUAAUCAUAAAAACAAAAAUUAUAUUUGAACAAUUUGUAUAAGCUCUCCAAAAUCCUCAUUCAAUACAAUUUUUUAGUUUCCUCAAAUUAUAUGAAUUGUUGUUUUUGAAUAAAAAUAAAUUCUCCGAAGUCCUCUUCAAAUUAAAUCCUUCUAUCCUUUUUGUAAAUCCAAGUUUUUAAUUAUUUUAUUUUAUUGAGUCAAUUUAUACUUAUAUAAUUUAUUGUUGUGUUGUGUGUAUUUUGUGGAAUUAUUUGAGGUGCGAUAGAAUUUACGCUAUUUAUCACUAUUUUUGGAUUAAUUAAAAUAAUUGAAAUUUGGAUAAAAUGUAAGAGACAAAAUUAUAUUAGAGAUCCUUUAAAUUAUUUUUGUGUAAUAGGUUGGUCUUUUAAGUUUUUUUUGUAACAAUUUGAUCUUUUAAGUUACCAAACAUGUGCACCGUUAUCCUUUGUUAACAAAGUGAAGAUGUUAAUUGUGGAUGCAAUUAUUUUGAAUGGUAUGAAAUGGACGGAAACUACCAUUUUCCAAUUUACUGGUCGGAUAGUCCAUUGCCGGUUUUCAACUUCGACUACGACUAAUUGAACGAUAUGGAAAUCUGAUCUUUGGCCGCUUUGAAUGUCUUCCCAGUAGUAAAAGUUAAGGAUUUAUUACAGAUGGUUGAAGGCCUAAAACAAAUUUCUAAUUUUCUAGGUAAUGCUUAUAUGGACUUAUUUAUUGCUUUUUAAUAAUCAUUUUGGUUCCAUAUAAAACAUAAAACUAUAAGAGUUGGAAAUUAAAUCUCAAACCCUGAGCAUAUAUUUAUCUCGGUUUUUCAUAAAACGGAGGUAUCAUAUUGGUUUUUUUUAAAUAAAAUAAGACGCUCUUGUUACAUACACCCUCAGUUUUAUAUUGUUCGUGGUGAAAACUUCGUUAUAAAAAGAGUUAUUUGUUGUAGUUAUUGUAUGUUGUGGUUAUUGUUUGUGUAUUUUAAUUUUUGUAUUGUAUUUUGGUUGUUUUUAUGAUGUAGAAAUUGAAAUAAGUGGGUGUGCUCAACUACACAAUUCCAAAUCAGUUGGACGUAUAUGAAAAAUUAGUUGAGAAAGUUGUUAUGGGUGGUGCAAACACAAAAGAUGGUUCUCCUGCUCAGCAUCACAAAACUGAGACAAAUAUCUAAUUGAGGUUAUGGUCUCAGUUUUGGUCUCGGUUUUAAUCGUACCUUAUGUAGUAAGUAGAGGGUGAUGAUCCUUUUGAAUUUACAUUUGUCUUCAAGCGAUAUUAUAAAGGAAAGGUGUUUACCAUAAGAGUUUGGAUCUCCCUUAUGAGGUAGAAUUUGUGGCAUUACGAGGGUGUCUCAUUUAUGGAAAUGUGUUUGUCUUUUAGGACUUUUUUGGAUUAAGUGUAUGACAUGUUUUCCUCCUUUUGUGAGAGAAGGUUUGAGAAUGAUCAGAAGACUAGAUUUUGGCAUAUGACAUUUUGAUAGGUUUUACUUCUCUGUGUGUUUCUUUUGAAAAAUAUUUUCUGUCUUUAUGUGUUCCAUGUAAUUAGGGGUGUUCAUGGAUGCGGGUCGAUCCACAAAUCCGCUGAUCCAAACUAAGUCAACUAAUAAAUUAUCUGAACUAAUUUAUUUACGAAUAUAUCAAAUUCAACCCAUAAUAAUCCGUAUAAUUUUGAUUCGGGUAUCGAGUUUGAGUUUUACAAUAUGCGGAUCCAUUGGCCCAAGUCAUUAGUAUGACUUUAGUUAUUUCUUAUUACUUUUAUUAUUAUUUAAAUAAAAUAUAAAAUUAAUAUGUCACUAAUCACCAUAGUUUUUUCAAAAAAAAAUUAUUCUCCAUCAAUAAUACUACUAGGCAAAUGAGUUUAUGCAAUUUUAAGAUUAAAUGUUAUUUUUUAUUUUCUUUUAUAUCAUCUCCAACUUAUCUGUUAUAUGAAAAUAAUAUGUCUUUUUUAAUUUUAUACUAUUAUAAAGUGUUAUGUCAUGUUGAUGAGUUUUAUUAGAUAUUAUAUGAUAUGUUUCAUUGAAUUUUAGUGUUAUAGUGGUUGUAUUGAGUUGUGUUAUAUAUUUUUUAAAACCAACAAAAAGAAUCAUAAAAGAUAUAUUUUUUAUUUGAAAUAUAAUCCGUGAACCCAACUCAAACCGACCAAUUAAUGAACAGGUUGAUUCGAGUCAGUUUUGACUAUGAAAUUGCGGGUUGGACGACGUAUCCAACCUAUUGAAAUUUGAACGGGUUGGAUAACAAAUUAUGACAAACCCAAUUAAACUCAAUCCACGUACACACGUACAUGUAACGUUGUCCCUACACACUUCUAGUACUCUUAAUUUCACCUGUACUUUGUACUACUUUUAUUUUUAUUUUUUAAUUGAUAUAUAUAUUUUGUUGUUACUACUCUUAGUUUCAAUAUUUAAUUAUAUUUAUAUAUCUAUAUAUAGUAUAUAUAUAUAUAUAUAUUUAUUUAUAUAUAUUUAUAUAUAUAUUAUUAUAUAUAUAUAUAUAUAUAUAUAUAUAUGAUAGAUAAUAUAUAUAUAUACUAUAUAUUAUAUAUAUUUAAUAUAUAUAUAAUUUAAUAGCUACAAAGAGAAUUUGAAGGGGAAAGUUCAUAUGUUUUUUUUACCAGAAGAUAGGACCAAUGUGAUGAAUAAAAGUCCCAUGAGAAAAAGUUUGCAAAUGUGCAUUGUCAUUUUUUCUGAAGAUUCUA
rnacentral:lncRNA from 1 species